CUAAGAAUAUUCCACAAUGGACGAAAGUCUGACGGAGCGACGCCGCGUGGAUGAUGAAGGCCGGAAGGUUGUAAAAUCCUUUUAUGACUGAGGAAUAAGUGAAGUGAGGGAAACGCUUCAUGGUGACUGUAGGUCAUGAAUAAGCAACGGCUAAUUACGUGCCAGCAGCCGCGGUAACACGUAAGUUGCGAGCGUUGUUCGGAAUUAUUGGGCGUAAAGGGUAUGUAGGCGGUUCUGCAAGUCUGGUGUGAAAUGCCGGGGCUCAACCCCGGAACUGCAUUGAGAACUAAGAUACUGGAGUCGCUGAAGUGCAGCCAGAAUUCCUGGUGUAGGG
rnacentral:rRNA from 1 species